rnacentral:rRNA from 1 species
UGACUGUCUUUUAUCUUUAAUUUUAAAUUUAUUUAAGGAGUGCAAAUCCUCUUGGAAAAAAUAAAAGACGAGAAGACCCUUAGAGUUUUUAAAAUAAAUUUUUAUAGAAGCUUUUUUGUUGGGGCAACAAAAUUACAUUGUAGGGAAAUUAAUUAUAUUGUAUAUAAUACAUGACGAAAUUUUUUUGGAAAGAAUAAAUUACCUGAGGGAUAACAGCAUAAUUUUAUAUAUAAGUUUGUGACCUCGAUGUUGGACUAG